CUUUUCAAUCACACAACUGUUUGUCUAUGUAUAAAGUGGUGAGUGAGGCCCCCUAUAUAAUGUUUUUCCUGAGUUGCCAUUGAAAAAACCUUCAAAACUAAUCAUCCAAAUCCAAGAUGCAAUAUCAAGAUAACCAACCUCCUCCAGGCUAUCCAUCUGAGAAAUCUCCUCCUCCCUCAGCAGGGAAGAAGAAGACUAAGCGUCCAUCAUCGCAGAGCAAGGGAGACAGGGGUUUCAUAGAGGGAUGCCUCUGGGGUUUAUGCUGCUGCUGGCUUUGCGAAGUAUGUUUCGACUAAUUUCAGUAGUAGCAUAGCCGUAUGCUAAACUAGUAUAAUCUUCUACUAAAUCUAGUUGGUUUUGUAGCUUCCUAAGUAUGCACCAGUGCUUUAUUGAUAUAUAGUUACUACGGUUUGUAUUA